rnacentral:tRNA from 1 species
GGAAAAGUAGCUCAGUUGGUAGAGUGUCGGUUUGUCAUGCCAAUGGUCGCGGGUUCAAGUCCCGUCUUUUUCG